rnacentral:rRNA from 1 species
AUGAGGAGCUUGCUCCUCUGACGUUAGCGGCGGACGGGUGAGUAACACGUGGAUAACCUACCUAUAAGACUGGGAUAACUACGGGAAACCGGAGCUAAUACCGGAUAAUAUAUUGAACCGCAUGGUUCAAUAGUGAAAGACGGUUUUGCUGUCACUUAUAGAUGGAUCCGCGCCGCAUUAGCUAGUUGGUAAGGUAACGGCUUACCAAGGCAACGAUGCGUAGCCGACCUGAGAGGGUGAUCGGCCACACUGGAACUGAGACACGGUCCAGACUCCUACGGGAGGCAGCAGUAGGGAAUCUUCCGCAAUGGGCGAAAGCCUGACGGAGCAACGCCGCGUGAGUGAUGAAGGUCUUCGGAUCGUAAAACUCUGUUAUUAGGGAAGAACAAAUGUGUAAGUAACUAUGCACGUCUUGACGGUACCUAAUCAGAAAGCCACGGCUAACUACGUGCCAGCAGCCGCGGUAAUACGUAGGUGGCAAGCGUUAUCCGGAAUUAUUGGGCGUAAAGCGCGCGUAGGCGGUUUUUUAAGUCUGAUGUGAAAGCCCACGGCUCAACCGUGGAGGGUCAUUGGAAACUGGAAAACUUGAGUGCAGAAGAGGGAAGUGGAAUUCCAUGUGUAGCGGUGAAAUGCGCAGAGAUAUGGAGGAACACCAGUGGCGA